UACGGAGGGUGCAAACGUUGCUCGGAAUCAUUGGGCGUAAAGCGCACGUAGGCGGACCGCUAAGUCGGAUGUGAAGGCCCUCGGCUUAACCGAGGAAGUGCAUUCGAAACUGACGGUCUUGAGUAUGGAAGAGGGUCGCGGAAUUCUCGGUGUAGAGGUGAAAUUCGUAGAUAUCGGGAGGAACACCAGUGGCGAAGGCGGCGACCUGGGCCAAUACUGACGCUGAGGUGCGAAAGCGUGGGGAGCAAACAGG
rnacentral:rRNA from 1 species